rnacentral:rRNA from 1 species
UACGUAGGGUGCGAGCGUUAAUCGGAAUUACUGGGCGUAAAGCGUGCGCAGGCGGUUGUGCAAGACAGAUGUGAAAUCCCCGGGCUUAACCUGGGAACUGCAUUUGUGACUGCACGGCUAGAGUGUGUCAGAGGGGGGUAGAAUUCCACGUGUAGCAGUGAAAUGCGUAGAUAUGUGGAGGAAUACCGAUGGCGAAGGCAGCCCCCUGGGAUAACACUGACGCUCAUGCACGAAAGCGUGGGAGCAAACAGG